AUUACGUGACGGUGGAUCACUCGGCUUGUGCGUCGAUGAAGAACGCAGCUAGCUGCGAGAAUUAGUGUUCUUCAUCGACGCACGAGCCAGGUGAUCCACCGUUAACCUAAUUGAGUAAAAAAUGUUUCCCCUUCCCCACCCCUACUUUGCAUAUGCAAAUUAGGGUUU
rnacentral:rRNA from 1 species